rnacentral:tRNA from 1 species
GCGAGUGUGGCGGAACUGGCAGACGCGCCAUCUUGAGGGGGUGGUGAGCUAAGCUUGUGGGGGUUCGAAUCCCCCUACUCGCACCA